rnacentral:siRNA from 1 species
CGUGGACCGACGCGGAUUACG